rnacentral:rRNA from 1 species
UUUUUUAAAACACAAGUGAAAAUGAAUGUAAACAAACCUUUAAUUAUAUAUAACUUUUAACAAUGGAUCUCUAGGCUCUCACAUCGACGAAGAACACAGUGAAAUGUGAUAAGUAAUGUGAAUUGCAGAAUUCAGUGAAUCAUCGAAUCUUUGAAUGCACCUUGCGCCUUUUGGUAUUCCAAAAGGCACACCUGUUUGAGUGUCAUGAAACCCUCUCAUUAAAAUAACUUUAAUUAAUUAUUUUCAAUGGAUGUUGAGUGCUGCUGUCAUUAGCUCACUUUAAAUAUAUAAGUCACUUUUCAAUAAGUUGGAUUGGCUUGAUGUAAUAAUGUUAUCAUCACAUCAAGGAAAGUAGCAAUACUGCCAUCUUAUUUUUGAAGGGAGACUCCUAAAACCCCCCCAUUAAUUUUUAAGACCUCAAAUCAGGUGGGACUACCCGCUGAACUUAAGCAUAUCAAUAAGCGGAGGA